AUUGAACGCUGGCGGCAUGCCUUACACAUGCAAGUCGAACGGCAGCGGACCUUCGGGUGCCGGCGAGUGGCGAACGGGUGAGUAAUAUAUCGGAACGUACCUUUCAGUGGGGGAUAACGUAGCGAAAGUUACGCUAACACCGCAUAUUCUGUGAGCAGGAAAGCAGGGGAUCGCAAGACCUUGCGCUGAUUGAGCGGCCGAUAUCAGAUUAGCUAGUUGGUGAGGUAAAGGCUCACCAAGGCGACGAUCUGUAGCGGGUCUGAGAGGAUGAUCCGCCACACUGGAACUGAGACACGGUCCAGACUCCUACGGGAGGCAGCAGUGGGGAAUUUUGGACAAUGGGCGCAAGCCUGAUCCAGCCAUGCCGCGUGAGUGAAGAAGGCCUCGG
rnacentral:rRNA from 1 species